GUGAGGUGAGUUGAGGUGAGGUAAGGUGAGGUGAGAUGAGGUAUGGUGAGUUAAGGUAUGGUGGGGUGAGGUGAGGUGAGGUAAGGUGAGGUAAGGUAUGGUGUGGUGGGGUGAGGUGAGGUGAGGUGAGGUGUGGUGGGGUGAGGUGAGGUGAGGUGAGGUAAGGUAUGGUGGGGUGAGAUGAGAUGAGUUACGGUAUGGUGGGGUGAUGUGAGGUAUGGUGUGAUAGGGUGAGGUGAGAUAUGGUGGGGUGAGGUAUGGUGGGUGAGAUGUGGUAGGGUGAGGUGAGAUGAGGUAAGGUAUGGUGUCAUAGGGUGAGGUGAGGUAUGGUGGGUGAGGUGUGGUAGGGUAGGAUGAGGUGUGGUGAGGUGAGCUAUGGUGGGUGAGGUGUGGUAGGGUAGGGUGAGGUGUGGUGAGGUGAGCUAUGGUGGGUGAGGUGAGGUAUGGUGAGGUGAGGUAAGGUAUGGUGAGGUGAGGUGAGGUGUGGUGAGGUAAGGUAAGGUGGGGUGAGGUAAGGUAUGGUGGGGUGAGGUGAGGUAAGGUAUGGUGAGGUGUGGUAGCGUGAGGUGGGGUGAGGUAUGGUGAGAUAUUGUGUAUUAAGGUGGUCAGUAGGAUGGUAAAGGGUUGUAGGACGGGGUCAGUAGGAUGGUGUAGGGUUGUAGGACGGGGUCAGUAAGAUGGUGUAGGGUUGUAGGAUGGGGUCAGUAGGAUGGUAAAGGGUUGUAGGGGUCAGUGGACGGUGUAGGGUUGUAGGAUGGGGUCAGUAGGAUGGUGUAGGGUUGUAGGAUGGGGUCAGUAGGAUGGUAAAGGGUUGUAGGACGGGGUCAGUAGGAUGGUAAAGGGUUGUAGGACGGGGUCAGUAGGAUGGUAAAGGGUUGUAGGACGGGGUCAGUAGGAUGGUGUAGGGUUGUAGGAUGGGGUCAGUAGGAUGGUAAGGGGUUGUAGGACGGGGUCAGUAGGAUGGUGUAGGGUUGUAUGAUGGGGUCAGUAGGACGGUAAAAGGUUGUAGGAUGGGGUCAGUAGGAUGGUGUAGGGUUGUAGGAUGGGGUCAGUAGGAUGGUGUAGGGUUGUAGGAUGGGGUCUGUAGGAUGGUGUAGGGUUGUAGGAUGGGGUCAGUAGGAUGGUGUAGGGUUGUAGGAUGGGGUCAGUAGGAUGGUGUAGGGUUGUAGGACGGGGUCAGUAGGAUGGUGUAGGGUUGUAGGGUGGGGUCAGUAGGAUGGUAAAGGGUUGUAGGACGGGGUCAGUAGGAUGGUGUAGGAGUGAGGUGAGGUGAGGCUUGUAAGUUAUGGUGGAGUGAAAUGAGGUAAGGUAGGGUGAGGUGAGGUGAGGUAAGGUGAGGUGAGGUAUGGUGAGGUAAGGUAUGGUGAGGUGAGAUGAGGUGAGGUAAGGUGAGGUGAGGUAUGGUGAGGUAAGGUAUGGUGAGGUGAGGUGAGGUAAGGUAAGGUGAGGUAAGGUAUGGUGUGGUGGGGUGAGGUGAGGUGAGGUAAGAUGUGGUGGGGUGAGGUGAUGUGAUGUAUGGUGGGGUGGGGGGAGUUGAGUUGAGGUAAGGUGAUGUAAGGUGUGGUGGGGUGAGGUGAGGUAAGGUGUGGUGGGGUGAGAUGCGGUAAGGUAAGGUGAGGUGAGGUGAGGUAAGGUAUGGUGGGGUGUGGUGAGGUGAGGUGAGGUGAGGUAAGGUAUGGUGGGGUGAGGUGAUGUGAGGUAAGGUAUGGUGUGGUGAGGUGAGGUAUGCUGGGGUGAGUUGAGGUAAUGUGAUGUAAGUUGUGGUGAGGUGAGUAUCCCUGACCUAAAACAGACAAUAUAACUUAAAUCAUCCAAUCAGUCAGCCAGUCAGGCCGUCAGUCAGCCAGUCAGUCAGCCAGGCAGUCAGGCAGGCAGGCAGCCAGCCAGCCAGCCAGUCAGCCAGUCAGGCAGUCAGGCAGUCAGCCAGCCAGUCAGCCAGGCAGUCAGCCAGGCAGUCAGCCAGUCAGGCAUUUAGGCAGUCAGUCAGCCAGCCAGCCAGCCAGCCAGGCAGUCAGCCAGUCAGCCAGUCAGUCAGUCAGUCAGCCAGUCAGGCAGUCAGUCAGCCAGUCAGGCAGUAAGUCAGCCGGUCAGUCAGCCAGUCAGUCAGCCAGGCAGUCAGCCAGCCAGGCAGUCAGCCAGUCAGGCAUUUAGGCAGUCAGUCAGCCAGCCAGCCAGGCAGUCAGCCAGUCAGCCAGGCAGUCAGUCAGUCAGUCAGGCAGUCAGUCAGCCAGUCAGGCAGUAAGUCAGCCAGUCAGCCAGCCAGCCAGCCAGGCAGUCAGCCAGUCAGGCUGUCAGUCAGUCAGUCAGCCAGUCAGGCAGUCAGUCAGCCAGUCAGGCAGUAAGUCAGCCAGUCAGUCAGUCAGUCAGCCAGUCAGUC
rnacentral:lncRNA from 1 species